UACAGGGGGGGCAAGCGUUGUUCGGAAUUACUGGGCGUAAAGGGCCAGUAGGCGGCCAACUAAGUCCGACGUGAAAUCCCCAGGCUUAACCUGGGAACUGCGUCGGAUACUGGAUGGCUUGAAUUCGGGAGAGGGAUGCAGAAUUCCAGGUGUAGCGGUGAAAUGCGUAGAUAUCUGGAGGAAUACCGGUGGCGAAGGCGGCAUCCUGGACCGGUAUUGACGCUGAGGCGCGAAAGCUAGGGGAGCAAACGGG
rnacentral:rRNA from 1 species